AGUGAACGCUGGCGGUAGGCCUAACACAUGCAAGUCGAACGGCAACACAGUAAGAGCUUGCCCUUAUGGGGGUCGAGUGGCGGACGGGUGAGGAAUACAUCGGAAUCUACUUUUUCGUGGGGGUUAACGUAGGGAAACUUACGCUAAUACCGCAUACGACCUACGGGUGAAAGAAGGGGAUCUUCGGACCUUGCGCGAUUGAAUGAGCCGAUGUCGGAUUAGCUAGUUGGCGGGGUAAGGGCCCACCAAGGCCACGAUCCGUAGCUGAUCUGAGAGGAUGAUCAGCCACACUGGAACUGAGACACGGUCCAGACUCCUACGGGAGGCAGCAGUAGGGAAUAUUCGGCAAUGGGCGCAAGCCUGAUGCAGCCAUACCGCGUGAGUGAAGAAGGCCUUCGGAUCGUAAAGCUCUUUUGUUGGGGAAGAAAAGCAACAGGUUAAACCCAAGGUAUUCUGACGGUACCCAAAGAAAAAGCAACGGCUAACUUCGUG
rnacentral:rRNA from 1 species